rnacentral:rRNA from 1 species
AUUGAACGCUGGCGGCAGGCCUAACACAUGCAAGUCGAACGAGUGGCGGACGGGUGCGUAAUGUCUGGGACACUGCCUGAUGGAGGAGGAUAACUCCUGGAAACGGUAGCUCAUACCGCAUACCCUCAGAUGUGCCCAGAUGGGAUUAGCUAGUAGGUGGGGUAACGGCUCACCUAGGCGACGAUCCCUCUCUGGUCUGAGAGGAUUAACAGCCACACUGGAACUGAGACACGGUCCAGACUCCUACGGGAGGCAGCAGUGGGGAAUAUUGCACAAUGGGCGCAAGCCUGAUGCAGCCAUGCCGCGUGUGUGAAGAAGGCCUUCGGGUUGUAAAGCACUUUCAGCGGGUAGGCGUUACCCGCAGAAGAAGCACCGGCUAACUCCGUGCCAGCAGCCGCGGUAAUAC